rnacentral:rRNA from 1 species
AUUGAACGCUGGCGGCAUGCCUUACACAUGCAAGUCGAACGGCAGCACGGGAGCAAUCCUGGUGGCGAGUGGCGAACGGGUGAGUAAUAUAUCGGGAACGUGCCCAGUCGUGGGGGAUAACGUAGCGAAAGCUACGCUAAUACCGCAUACGAUCUAUGGAUGAAAGCGGGGGAUCGCAAGACCUCGCGCGAUUGGAGCGGCCGAUAUCAGAUUAGGUAGUUGGUGAGGUAAAGGCUCACCAAGCCGACGAUCUGUAGCUGGUCUGAGAGGACGACCAGCCACACUGGGACUGAGACACGGCCCAGACUCCUACGGGAGGCAGCAGUGGGAAUUUUGGACAAUGGGCGCAAGCCUGAUCCAGCAAUGCCGCGUGCAGGAUGAAGGCCUUCGGGUUGUAAACUGCUUUGUACGGAACGAAACGGUGAGCUCUAAUACAGUUUGCUAAUGACGGUACCGUAAGAAUAAGCACCGGCUAACUACGUG